AUUGAACGCUGGCGGCAUGCUUUACACAUGCAAGUCGAACGGUAACAGGCCGCAAGGUGCUGACGAGUGGCGAACGGGUGAGUAAUGCAUCGGAACGUGCCCAGUCGUGGGGGAUAACUACUCGAAAGAGUAGCUAAUACCGCAUACGAUCUAUGGAUGAAAGCGGGGGACCGUAAGGCCUCGCGCGAUUGGAGCGGCCGAUGUCAGAUUAGGUAGUUGGUGGGGUAAAGGCUCACCAAGCCAACGAUCUGUAGCUGGUCUGAGAGGACGACCAGCCACACUGGGACUGAGACACGGCCCAGACUCCUACGUGAGGCAGCAGUGGGGAAUUUUGGACAAUGGGCGCAAGCCUGAUCCAGCAAUGCCGCGUGCAGGAAGAAGGCCUUCGGGUUGUAAACUGCUUUUGUACGGAACGAAACGGCUCUGGUUAAUACCCGGGGCUAAUGACGGUACCGUAAGAAUAAGCACCGGCUAACUACGUG
rnacentral:rRNA from 1 species